rnacentral:rRNA from 1 species
AUACGGAGGGUGCGAGCGUUAAUCGGAAUCACUGGGCGUAAAGCGCACGUAGGCUGUCUGGCAAGUCAGGGGUGAAAUCCCGCGGCUCAACCGCGGAACUGCCUUUGAAACUGUCAGACUUGAGUAUCGGAGAGGGUGGCGGAAUUCCAGGUGUAGGAGUGAAAUCCGUAGAUAUCUGGAAGAACACCGGUGGCGAAGGCGGCCACCUGGCCGAAAACUGACGAUGAGGUGCGAAAGCGUGGGUAGCAAAAAGGAUUAGAUACCCUGGUAGGCCACGCUGUAAACGAUGGAUGCUGGGUGCUGGGAGCAUAGCUUUCGGCGCCGUAGUUAACACGAUAAGCAACCCGCCUGGGGAGUACGGUCGCAAGGCUGAAACUCAAAUGAAUUGGCGGGG